UACGUAGGGGUCUAGCGUUGUCCGGAAUCAUUGGGCGUAAAGCGCGCGCAGGCGGCUCGGUAAGUCGGGUGUGAAAACUCGGGGCUCAACCCCGGGCGUGCAUCCGAUACUGUCAAGCUCGAGUCCGGAAGAGGCGAGUGGAAUUCCUGGUGUAGCGGUGAAAUGCGCAGAUAUCAGGAGGAACACCAAUGGCGAAGGCAGCUCGCUGGGACGUGACUGACGCUGAGACGCGAAAGCGUGGGGAGCAAACAGG
rnacentral:rRNA from 1 species